UUAGAGCACCCGACUGCUCUUCCGAAGGUCCAGAGUUCAAAUCCCAGCAACCACAUGGUGGCUCACAACCAUCCGUAACAAGAUCUGACUCCCUCUUCUGGAGUGUCUGAAGACAGCUACAGUGUACUUACAUAUAAUAAAUAAAUAAAUCUUUAAAAAAAAAAAAAAAAAGAUCUGCUCCAUUGUCCCCAGAGAAAGAAAGCAAAAAGGGUCUCUACUUGUAGACUGAUUAAACAGAGUAAGUGCGGUAUUUGGGCAGCCAAAGUACAUUAUCUUUCUUUUUGGCAUAUGAUUUAAAUUCACUAGUUUAUUUUUAUGGAAAUUCCUACUUUAUAAAGUACUAGGGAAAUAACAGGAAGUUUGUUUCACAUGAUGUACAUACAUUUAUAUACAUACACUGUAUAUAAACUUGCUUCCAUUUACUUAGUAUUAAACACUGAGCCUAUGUAUUUUACAUCUACAGUUUACUGAGCAUCCUAUUACUUGUGAAUGUUCUGUAACAAUUUGUCCACAUAGCAAAUACCAAAGCCUGUUUGAGCAGUGCUUAGCUUUCUGCCUGACCUCUUUCUGGUUUUAAUAUCUAAGGUAGAUUGAAGCCUAUGUAGUGUUUUCUUUAUAAUCUGAUAUGGGUCAAUGUGAGUCCUUUUACAUGUUUUAUUCAGCUGGGCAGCAUAUUGUAAAGGGUUGUUGAAUAUUGUAGCCAGGAUAAUAAGGAAUUGUUAACAUCCCUUCAAUGAGACAGCUUUAAGAGCUGGUUAGUCUAGUGGGACAAGACAGAUGACCAACUCUUUCCAGCAUUUUUUUUUCUUUGUUGUAAUUUAGGUCCCCAAAUUCUAAAUAGUCUUAAUGAUUUUUUUUUAAUUUAAAAUUAGUCAGCUGUCACACAUGCUUGUCAAAAUAAUGCUUUUGAACUGGAUGUCUAGAUCAGUGUUAGAGUGCUUACUUAGCGUGGAACAGUUGUGGGUUCUAGCACUGAAGAGAACACCUUCAAAAUGUUUUAUUUUUAAAAGACAUUCUGCUAUGCAGUGAUAUUUUGUUGCUACUCAAGAUCUGGGACUGAAGUUUAAAUUAAAAGAAAAAAAAAUUACUGAGUUAUUUAAGUCUCCAGAAGAGAUUUUGGAGGCCAAUAAGAUAGCUCAGUGAGUAAGAAGGCAUUUCCUGCUAUACCUCAUAGCCUGAAUUUUGAGUACCGAUGAACUCUUAACAAGUUGCUCUUUGUCCACAAAAUACUAAUUAAAUUGACAUUUUGAAAGAAGUCAUUUUUCAGUAACAAUACUUAAUGAGGAGAAACUUGGAAAUUAAAAAAAUGUAUCUGGGCCAUUAAAUUUUUGUCACGAUAAAGGGUUUAUUAAUCAUUUAAGAAUAAAUUUAUGCUUUAUUUUAGGAUUUUUUUUUUUAACCAUAAAGCUAACACUUUAUAGUAUCUCAGAGCAAGACCUCCUAAUGCCUAAUUGUACAACAAAGGCUGUGGUGCUUACCCAGACACUGUUGUGACCACUGCUUUUCACAGCAGCAAAAACAAAUGAUAUACCUGAGGGCCUUUGUUGUUGGUUUUUGUUUAUUUUUUUAUUUUUUUGGUUUUUCAAGACAGGGUUUCUCUGUAUGGCCCUAGCU
rnacentral:lncRNA from 1 species